rnacentral:misc_RNA from 1 species
AAACAGAGCAACCUAGGAUCCACGGUUCAUACCAGUAAGUGACAGGAUACUAAACAUGGUAGCAUCAUGAGACCUGCAAUGCUCAAACUCACAGAAAGAUUAACAAUAUCAACAUGCGUAAGCUUCAGACUUGGGUGAGUCCUUAUGCUUGCUAGCAUUCCCUAUUCCUACCUACUACCUAGACCAACAGAAUAGAGCACUGAGAAAAGCAGUUUCAGAAUUGCUACUUGUACUUAGCUUCCAAACUAUAAUCAAAUUAACCACAUUCCUUCCCAUCAGUAUCUAUCUUCAUCCAAAAACCGCAUUUGAAACGACCAGUUACAAGCAAUGCACAAUCAUAAUUUCGCGAUUAGAAAAUGCUCUUUCAAUCGAGCACCCAUGAAAAUUUACAUUCCUUACCGAUUUAAGAAUGUUUCCCAUGAGAAAUAUAAAAUGAAAUUGGCAACACUCAACUUCCAACUCAUACAAGAAAACCAACAUACAGCCCUUCAAUUGUCUAAUUACAAUUCAGUUUCAAAAACCACUGCCAUAAUCCAAAAUCAUCCAACCUACAACACAUGUAUCUUCAAACACCUACCAAACUGCAACAGAGACCUCUUCCUCCCAUAAUAAUUCCGUAAAUUUACAAAAUCAACCAUAGUGAUCGAAGGAAAGGAACGAGACAAACCUUGAUGGUGAGAUCGGGAGGU